UACUGAGGGGGCAAGCGUUGUCCGGACUUACUGGGCGUAAAGGGUGCGUAGGCGGCCUGCUGCGUCGGUGCUGAAAGCGCCCGGCUUAACCGGGCGAGGCGUGCCGAUACGAGCGGGCUGGAGCCUUGGCGAGGGUGGCGGAACUCCUGGUGUAGUGGUGAAAUGCGUAGAGAUCAGGAAGAACACCCGUGGCGCAAGCGGCCACCUGGCCAAGAGCUGACGCUGAGGCACGAGAGCGUGGGGAGCGAACCGG
rnacentral:rRNA from 1 species